GCAUCGUUUUUUGAGGCAACCGUCCCUUGGAUGGCCUUGAAGCCAUGCGGGCAGUGACCAGCCAAUGGGGAUGAGAUGGAAAGGAACACAAUGGCUCUGUAGUACAAGGGGACAACAUGAGCUUGCGGUGAGUGGCAUAGGUAGCCUGAGGCACUUUCCUUUCAGAACACAGAGAGUUCAGCCACUCCCAUGACUGAGUGUGAGCUCCAGUGAUGGAGACCUACAACAUGUCCUGCUAAGCUGCUCCAGCAACAACUGCCCUCUAACUUAAGAAGCACUGGAGCCUGAGAGUUCCCAGGGAGGGCAAUGAACGAGGUCAGAGCUCCUGGCCCACGGCAGCCAGGCCCGGCCCUUUGUUCCCCAUCAUGAGGCAAUGACAUCAGGAGCAGCCAGAAACAGAAGAGAAAAACAGAACAAAACAAAACAAAACAAAACAAACAAACAAACAAACAAAAAAAAAAAAAAAAAAAAAAAAAAAGAAGCCAAAGCAAAGGUAAACAGAGCUUGUUGCUCUCUUCUCCACUGCUGCUUCUUGUUGCACUGAGGACAGAAACCCAAAAGGCAGUGCUGACUGGUUUACCAGCUGUGAUAAUUGGAGCACAAGUGAUGUAAAACAUUUUGGUAAGAGUUCUCAAUACAGAAAUUGAAUACGAUUGAGUCAGAUCAGUAAUGACCUGAAGUUUGUACCUGGCGGCAAACAUUCUAGUAGAACAUUGAUGUGUCACCAAAUCAACAGCACUUCCCAGCUCUGUCGUUUUGUUUGGUUUUUUUUGAGCUAGUUAAUUUCAGCACGUCACAAAAUCCAAACACAGUUUUGGCUCAAGUUGCUGAAGGACCAGCAGCAACACUGCAUAAGAAAUGACUAUUUGAUCCCUUAUUAUUACUCACAGCUAUUCAGUUUGGUUGUUCAUAUCCCUUUCAUGACAAUUAACAGCCCUACUAGGCAAAACGGUAUUGCCACGAUCCUAAAAUUUAAUAAAGAGUUGCUGAUAACUUUUACACCCAUCCUCUUCCCAGCAGUAAGGAGGUCUUGGUUCUAACAUAUCAACACGAGGGACUGAAAUGUGAGCACACCAAAACAUGUGUGAGAGUCUAUUGAUGAGCAUCUGCGCAGUCUCCAAAUCCCCCACCCUGGGCUCCACGUGGUCUCUCCAUUUCCUAACUUCACAUCGUCCUAUACCUCCUGCCCCCUCUAUCUGAACUGGAGAAAAACAAGAACUCAUUUUGGUUUGCUUCUCUCUUCUCUGCAAACAAAGUAGAUUUUAAGGCAAGUUUGCAGAGCCCCACUUCAUGCAGCAGUGUGAAAUGGGCUGGAGGCUGUUGUCCUGCAGUGUCAAGGCUGCAGCACAGCCCACUCUGCAGGCCUCU
rnacentral:lncRNA from 1 species